GAAGUGGGAACAGAAGACAACGAAAGUUGGUUCAGAAGUGGGAACAGAAGACUACGAGAAGACGCUCAAGAAGAAUAAAGUGCAGAGAUGAGGACAUUGUAUUUGUUACUUGCACUUGGUCUGCUGUGUGCAGUGGUAUAUUCAAUACCAAUCGAAGAUGAUGAACCUUUGGAAAAGGAGUCAAAGGAAGAGAAUGAUGAUGACAAUGCUCUGGAAGAAGACGAUGAAGAUAAAGACGACGACGAUGAACCUCAAGCGCUAGCAGAUCCUUCGUAUAGAUAUCACGGGCGCAGACGUCACGGGCGCAGAUAUUACGUGCGCAGACAUUACAGGAACAGAUAUUACGUGCGCAAACAUUACAGGAACAGAUAUUACGGAAGAUACCGACAUCAUCGACGUCAUUAUUACGGAUAAAUAUGAAACAUGAUUCAUAAAGGACUGGAAACAAAGAUAAUUCAACAAAAAAA